rnacentral:rRNA from 1 species
AGUGAACGCUGGCGGUAGGCCUAACACAUGCAAGUCGAACGGCAGCACAGUAAGAGCUUGCUCUUACGGGUGGCGAGUGGCGGACGGGUGAGGAAUACAUCGGAAUCUACUUUUUCGUGGGGGAUAACGUAGGGAAACUUACGCUAAUACCGCAUACGACAUACGGGUGAAAGCAGGGGAUCUUCGGACCUUGCGCGAUUGAAUGAGCCGAUGUCGGAUUAGCUAGUUGGCGGGGUAAAGGCCCACCAAGGCGACGAUCCGUAGCUGGUCUGAGAGGAUGAUCAGCCACACUGGAACUGAGACACGGUCCAGACUCCUACGGGAGGCAGCAGUGGGGAAUAUUGGACAAUGGGCGCAAGCCUGAUCCAGCCAUACCGCGUGAGUGAAGAAGGCCUUCGGGUUGUAAAGCCCUUUUGUUGGGGAAGAAAAACAGCAGGUUAAUACCCCGCUGUUCUGACGGUACCCAAAGAAUAAGCACCGGCUAACUUCGUG